rnacentral:rRNA from 1 species
GACGAACGCUGGCGGCGUGCUUAACACAUGCAAGUCGUACGGUAAGGCCCUUUCGGGGGUACACGCGUGGCGAACGGGUGAGUAACACGUGAGUAACCUGCCCACAACUUUGGGAUAACGCUAGGAAACUGGUGCUAAUACUGGAUAUGUGCUCCUGCUGCAUGGUGGGGGUUGGAAAGCUCCGGCGGUUGUGUAUGGACUCACGGGCUAUCAGCUUGCUGGUUGGGGAGUUGCCUACCAAGGCGGCGGCGGGUAGCCGGCCUGGGAGGGUGACCGGCCACAUUGGGACUGAGGUACGGCCCAGGCUCCUACGGGAGGGAGCAGGGGGGGAUAUUGCACAAUGGGCGCAAGCCUGAUGCAGCAACGCCGCGUGCGGGAUGACGGGCUUCGGGUUGGAAACCGCUUUCAGCAGGGACGAAGCUUUUUGUGACGGUACCUGCAGAAGAAGCACCGGCUAACUACGUG